GCCUGGGUGGCUCAGUCGGUUAAGUGUCCAACUUUGGCUCAGGUCACAAUCUCGCAGGUUCGUGGGUUCAAGUCCCACAUCAGGCU
rnacentral:tRNA from 1 species